rnacentral:rRNA from 1 species
AUUGAACGCUGGCGGCAGGCCUAACACAUGCAAGUCGAGCGGAGCGGCGGACGGGUGCGUAAUGCCUAGGAAUCUGCCUGGUAGUGGGGGAUAACGUCCGGAAACGGGCGCUAAUCUCGCAUACUAUCAGAUGACCCUAGGUCGGAUUAGCUAGUUGGUGGGGUAAAGGCCUACAAAGGCGGCGAUCCGUAACUGGUCUGAGAGGAGGAUCAGUCACACGGGAAGUGAGAAACGGUCCAGAGUCCUACGGGAGGCAGCAGUGGGGAAUAUUGGACAAUGGGCGAAAGCCUGAUGCAGCCAUGCCGCGUGUGGGAAGAAGGUCUUCGGAUUGUAAAGCACGUUAAGUUGGGAGGCGUUACCAACAGAAUAAGCACCGGCUAACUUCGUGCCAGCAGCCGCGGUAAUUC